AGGACGAACGUUGGCGGCGUGCCUAACACAUGCAAGUCGAACGUGGCUUAAGUUUACUUAAGUCUAGUGGCGGACGGCAGAGUAAUGCACAGGAACGUACCUCGAGGUGAGGGAUAGCCCUUCGAAAGAAGGGGUAAUACCACAUGUGCUCGCAAGAGCAAAGCCGCAAGGCGCCAUGAGAACGGCCUGUGUCCUAUCAGGUAGUUGGUGAGGUAAAGGCUCACCAAGCCUAUGACGGGUAGCUGGUCUGAGAGGAUGAUCAGCCUGAUCGGGACUGAGACACGGCCCGAACUCCUACGGGAGGCAGCAGUUGGGAAUUUUGCACAAUGGACGAAAGUCUGAUGCAGCGACGCCGCGUGGAGGAUGAAGGUCUUCGGAUCGUAAACUCCUUUACUUGGGUAAUAAUUUAAUGAAGGUACCAAGUGAAUAAGCACCGGCUAACUCCGUGCCAGCAGCCGC
rnacentral:rRNA from 1 species